GUGAAUCAUCGAAUUUUUGAACGCAAAUUGCACUCUCUGGUAUUCCGGAGAGUAUGCCUGUUUGAGGGUCAGUUUAAAUAAAAAUCGGUGUGGUUGCUGCCUUUCGUGGUGACGCACCGGAUUUGGGUCGUCUUGCCUUCGGUUAAGUGACCUAAAAUUUUGCAUGAUUUUUUUGAAUGCAUUUAAAUUGUUUUUCGUUUCUUUUGGGUCAUGGA
rnacentral:misc_RNA from 1 species